UUGGAGGGCAAGUCUGGUGCCAGCAGCCGCGGUAAUUCCAGCUCCAAUAGCGUAUAUUAAAGUUGUUGCAGUUAAAAAGCUCGUAGUUGAAUUUCGGGGUUCUACCGUUGGUCGGGCUUUGUCUGUACUGGUGUGUAGAAUUUCUACCUUCUGGGGAACCAUCAUGCUAUUAAUUUAGCGUGGUGGGAAACCAGGACCUUUACCUUGAAAAAAUUAGUGUGUUCAAAGCAGGCUUACGUCUGAAUACAUUAGCGUGGAAUAAUAGAAUAGGACGGUGGUCCUGUUUUGUUGGUUUCUGAAUCACCGUAAUGAUUAAUAGGGAUAGUUGGGGGCAUUAGUAUUCAAUUGUCAGAGGUGAAAUUCUUGGAUUUAUUGAAGACUAACUUCUGCGAAAGCAUUUGCCAAGGAUGUUUUCACUAAUCAAGAACGAAAGUUAGGGGAUCGAAGACGAUCAGAUACCGUCGUAGUCUUAACCAUAAACUAUGCCGACUAGGGAUCGGACGAUGUUAAUUUUUCUUGACUCGUUCGGCGCCUUACGGGAAAC
rnacentral:rRNA from 1 species